UUUAUUAAUUUAUGUAUUCAAUAAACAGUAAAUGAGUAUCUACAGGAAGAGUAUAGAUAUAAGUACACAAAAUAAAAACUCCUGCCCUCAUGGUGCUUCCAUUCUAAAUGUGUAGUGGUCAGCAGAGAUGAAGGUGAAAUGAAUCACAAAUCCAUAAGUGAAAUGUACAGUAUAUCAGAUAGCAAUAAAUAAUAUUACUAAAAAGAAAGAAAGCACAGAAGAUAAGUGUGGAGUGCUGAAAUUUGAAAUACUCUGAUCCGGGAAGGCCUUAUAGAGAAGGCAAUAUUUGAGUAAACAUUUGAAAGAGCAAGUGCAGGACAAAGGUCUAAGAAUAGAGUAAGCAAAUGCAUAGCAAUGGGAGAGGUAAGAUCAAAGAGGUGAGUGGGAGCCAGAUAACCUAGACCAGUGUAAGAACUUUGGUACUAAAUGGAAAAUAUAUCAUUUUUCCAAUAUCCGUGGAUAUUCCAUAUCCAUGGAUAAUUUUGAGCAAGGGAGUAAUAUGGUUUUAUGUGUAUUUCAAAAACAAAAUUAUAGGGUUGCUGUGCUGAAAACAGACUGAACUGGGAAACAAGGCAUAAAGUAGAAGAACAACUAGAAUAUUACCACAAUAAUCAGCGUGAGGAACAAUUGUACUUUGGACCUGAUGAUAUCAACGGAAGGGUGAAAAAUGAUCCAACUGACAAGAUUUGCAGAUGAUCUAUACCAACAGAUGUGUUGUUAAAUUAAUUAUCUUCCUAAACAUAAAGAAGAUAGAAGACCUUUCAGCUACUAUGUCAUCCCAGAUGAUGCCAAUCCAGUCCUACUCCCACAUGGAACUUUAACCACUACUCAUGCUUUCUACAAGCCUGACCUUUACCUUUCCCUUCAUCAACAUUGCAUCUGUCAAGUUCACAAUUACAGCCACUACUAAAUCCAGCAGCAUUCAAUGCUUAUAUUACAGAGGCAAGAAAGACUUCAUUCAAAACAACUGCAGAGGGGAGAGAAACUUAAUUCAACUCUGCUGAAACAAAAGUCAAGAAAAAACGUAGAACAAGAACUGGAGUUUGUCUUACAAAUCUUUAUGUAAUAGAAUUUCAGGAAGAGAGGCUACCAUGGACUUUGGAGAAUCUGUCCUGAAAGGUUUAAUGAAGAAUGGAUCUGUGCAGCUCCAGAAGUGGACAGUAAUGGAUGCUAUGCUCUGCCACUCUCAUCUCCUUUUCAGGGCCAAAGGACUUAUUCCACAAACUGCUGGAAGUGCUGCUGAUUGACAGCCCUCAGCUCUCAGCUCAUCUUGUAAAUUGUCCUUACCUUAAGAGGUCCACUUUGCACAAACUCAUGCCCUAUAUACAUGGCUAACAUAUGUCCAAUAUCCAAUCUACAUAGAAGAAUUAAGUCCCUACCCUCUCACAUCAACUUGGUACAAUUCUGAAAGGAUGAAAUCUUGUGAUUUCCUUACAGACAAUUGCUCUAUCACUCUUUCUCUCCUUUCCAUAUGAAUGACAAUCCUGAAAAUACUGUCCAAUACAUUUUCUGCAUUCAAAGUCCCAUUUUGGAGUCUAUAUUCCAGGCAUCUCAGCUAGCAACAUUGCUAGAUUUUUAUUGUUUUUUUCACAGGUCCAUUUCUUCCAAUAUACCUCACAUAAUAAAUAAAAGAAUAUGCAUCAGAAUACCAUUGGAUUGUGGCUUUGCCUUUUUAAUUAUUUCGAUUGAUUCUCCAUUGUUUAUAACACUGUGUUCAAAUUCCUUAGCUAAAGGAAGUCCUCAGAUUCUGGUGCUAAUUUUCAAAGCCAGCUUCAAAACCUACUAUUCUGCAACAAAACUUUCUACUUCUACUUUCUACUUUAAUUUUCACCAUCUAUUCUUAUAUGUCAUAGCUAUCCCUCCUAUACACUAUGACUUUGUUUAUGAUGAUCACUUGGAAUAACUUACUCUAUACCUUUCCAGACCCUAUCUAUCUUGUAAAAUCCUUCUCAACUCUCUUAUUAACCCUUAGAUUUGUAUUAGCUAAUAGUCACCCUCAUCCUACUCACUAUUCAUAAUUAUCAUCUUUAUUAUUCAAAAAAUCACCGUGAGAAACGAUUGAGCAUCUUAAAUGCAGCUACUGUUUUUAUAAAACAUAACAAUAGCCCAAUCAAGCAAUAAAAAAACUUAAAAAUAGCACAAUUUUGUUAUUAAAAUUUUUAAUUAAUUUAUGGUUUGUAUUGUGUCACCCUUUCCUAAUAUUUAUCUAUGUAAACUUUAGAUUUCCCAAUAUAUUAAUAAUUAAUAUAAGCACUUAAACACAGUAAGGAAUAUGAUUUUUUUAUAUCUGUCUCUGUCUCUGUCCCCCUCUCUCUCUCUUAUUCUCUUCACCUUUAUGAAAUUAAAGUGAUACAAAAAUAUGCAUUCAAAAAUUGCUUGUUGAAUUGAACUGACAGAAUAUAAAUUAGUUUGGAUAAUAUAGGUACGCUUUAUUAGAAAAGAGUGAAAUAAUAUCAUAAAAUAGCCCGAGAACCUUUUAUGUUUUCAAAAAUUAAAAUUAAACAUAAUCUAUAAAGAAUAUGUGUGAAGAUUCCUUUAUGUCACAAAGUUAAAAAAUGAGAACUAAGUCAAUGUAAAAACAAUAAAAACAUUAUCUUUAAAUUUGGAAUGCAUAGAACAAGA
rnacentral:lncRNA from 1 species